rnacentral:rRNA from 1 species
AUUGAACGCUGGCGGCAGGCCUAACACAUGCAAGUCGAGCGGAUGAAGGGAGCUUGCUCCUGGAUUCAGCGGCGGACGGGUGAGUAAUGCCUAGGAAUCUGCCUGGUAGUGGGGGAUAACGUCCGGAAACGGGCGCUAAUACCGCAUACGUCCUGAGGGAGAAAGUGGGGGAUCUUCGGACCUCACGCUAUCAGAUGAGCCUAGGUCGGAUUAGCUAGUUGGUGGGGUAAAGGCCUACCAAGGCGACGAUCCGUAACUGGUCUGAGAGGAUGAUUAGUCACACUGGAACUGAGACACGGUCCAGACUACGACGGGGGGCAGCAGUCGGGAAUAUUGGACAAAGGGCGAAAGCGUGAUCCAGCCAUGCCGCGUGUGUGAAGAAGGUCUUCGGAUUGUAAAGCAAUUUAAGUUGGGAGGAAGGGCAGUAAGUUAAUACCUUGCUGUUUUGACGUUACCAACAGAAUAAGCACCGGCUAACUUCGUG